rnacentral:rRNA from 1 species
UACGAGAGGACCGGAGUGGACGCAUCACUGGUGUUCGGGUUGUCAUGCCAAUGGCACUGCCCGGUAGCUAAAUGCGGAAGAGAUAAGUGCUGAAAGCAUCUAAGCACGAAACUUGCCCCGAGAUGAGUUCUCCCUGACUCCUUGAGAGUCCUGAAGGAACGUUGAAGACGACGACGUUGAUAGGCCGGGUGUGUAAGCGCAGCGAUGCGUUGAGCUAACCGGUACUAAUGAACCGUGAGGCUUAACCUUACAACGCCGAAGGUGUUU